rnacentral:tRNA from 1 species
GGGAAGAUGGCUCAGUGGUAGAGCGCUUGCCUUGCAUGUAUGAGGCCCUGGGUUCG